AUUGGCAAAACAGUAGAUAAAUCAGGGAUGUAAAAAUGCAAGAAGGAUUCAGUACAAGCACUACCCAGAGUGGACUUGCUGGGUGAAAGGUUUAUUCUGUCAGUUUUCCUCUUGAGACACUUAGGUUUAAGGAAAUGUUUGCACUGUUCUAGAGAAUAAGUUGGCUGUGUGUUUUCUUUUGUGUUUAGGCCACUCUGGAAGUAAUUCCUCUGGGCACAAUUAUCUAACAUAUGGUGAUUUAGAAAAAGCUCAAAGCAAAGGUCAUUUGGAUGUUUUAGGCAGGAAAGAAGAAAAUCCAUCUUGGAGAAUAAAAGGAAGUGAGAAAGGGCUGAGGUACAACUUAUGGUCAAAGGGACGUGAAAAGGAAAAAUGACAUAGAUAUCAAGCAAAAAUUGCAACUGAAGCCUUUUGUUUUUGCUUUUGUUUCUGUUUAUUUUUGUGUGAGGAGUGUGCACAUGUAGAUGAAAGCAAAGGCUGUGAUAUCAGAGAAGUUUGGUGCUGGAGAAGGCAUGAAAGAGAUUGAGUCCAGUGUGUGACCCAUGCGUGUGGCCUGUGCCACUGAGCAGGGCCCUGUGUGCAAGUGGGCCCCAUACCUGGAUCUGGCUUAAUGCUCCAUCGUUGUUGCUUUGAAAUUCUUCAUUUUAAUGUUAGGCCCUAUCUUUUUAUUAUGCACUGGAUCUGCAAAUAAGGUAGGAAGUUCUCUAAAAAAUGGUCUAUUCUCAACCCCCCGACCCCCCUUUUUUUUUCAGGUGAAUAAAUUAGGUCCAGAGAGGACAAAUGACUUGUGUGGUGGAGCCAGGAAUAGAGCUUAGCUUCUUGGGUCAAAAUUGCAAAUGAAUUCACAUUUGAAGUGUUUAAACAAAGAGAAGUGCUGCUUUCACCCUUUUGUUGAAAAGAAACUUCCUCAUGCAUCAUAAAUGAGCCAAAUAAAACACUGAAAUAAUCCAAAAGGAAGAAAGAUCUGGAUAUGAUUGGAUAGGAGGAAGACCUCACAUUGAGUUUUCAAGUCACUUCUAAAAAACCUGAGCUGCCAUCCUGAUUUUCCUCCCUUCAGCAUCAGCCCUCACAUCACUCUCUGAGGCCAGGGAAUUCUGGCACUCAUUGCCUUCUAACCCAAAGGGCCAUGUUGUCAUUAAGUCUAAGCAGAGAAUCAAGCUAAUUGCUGUUCACGUGCUGUGGAAACUGGCUGUCCUGCUCUAUGUACCUUGAUCACUGGUGCUGUCCUAGUAAAAUAAAUUAAUUUUAAUAAUGAUGCACUUGUCUUCUUGCAGGGCCAGGAACAGAAUGAAGAUCAGUGCAGCAUCAGUCAAGCAACGACCAACACUAAACAGCAGAAUAGAGCAAGCAGUAGCAAGCGAUUGCCUUACUUCAAAAAGGGAGCCAGACUCAGAGCAGAGCAGCCUGAGGAGCAUUCUCACUAAACAAACAUGUCUCCAGAACUGCAGUGCUCUGUAUCUCCAGGCUCCAAAAUAUGCUAUCAGAAUGAAAACAUUUGGUGGAUUCUAGAUGAAGCAAGCUGCAUUAAAUAGUUGGUUUUUAACUUCCUUUAAAUAUUGGAACAAAAGAGCUGCUUUCAAUCACCACCCCCCAAACAACUCUCCACAACUUCCUGGUGAUAAACAACAUCUGUAUAAAUCAAAAGUGAGAAUAUCAACCACCAGCCUGGGCAACAUGGUGAAAUUCCAUCUCUACAAAAAAAAUACAAAAAUUAUCUGGGCAUGGUGGCACAUGCCUGUAUUCCCAGCUACUUGGAAGGCUGAAGUGGGAAGAUCACUUGAGCCCAGGAGGUCGAGGCUGCAGCAAGCUGAGAUCACACCAAAAACUGAACCAGCCAGGCCUAUGCUUCUCAGUUCCCCACUCCUGUUAUUUGGAUUCACUUCUAAAAGUAAACUACCUACAUGUGAA